GACGUAGGGCGCGAGCGUUGUCCGGAUUUAUUGGGCGUAAAGAGCUCGUAGGCGGUUUGUCGCGUCUAUCGUGAAAACUAGCAGCUUAACUGUUGGCGUGCGGUGGAUACGGGCAGACUUGAGUUCGGUAGGGGAGACUGGAAUUCCUGGUGUAGCGGUGAAAUGCGCAGAUAUCAGGAGGAACACCGGUGGCGAAGGCGGGUCUCUGGGCCGAUACUGACGCUGAGGAGCGAAAGCGUGGGGAGCGAACAGG
rnacentral:rRNA from 1 species